CUGACCAGGCACUGGAACGUCUCUCCUCUGUCAUUUGAAUUCUAACCCUAAAGCUGGUGGAGAGAAAGAACAAAGGGAAGAGGGAGUAGGGAGUAGGGAGAGGAAAAAUCCCGGCCCCCACACCCAACUGACAGUCCUUCCGUGAUGGCCACAGAGGAAAACGGCUUUACUCCUGCAGUCGAUAGACUGGCUACCACGGACGCUGGAAUCCGGAAGACUCGGAGCUCUGCCAAGGCCCGGGGCAGCUCUGAAGAUCCCACAGCAAAGCUAUGAAGCUACAGGAAAGAGAGCAACGACAGUCCUCACAAUCAUCGUAACAGACGACCUCACAUGUGGCAGGUGCUUUACAGGUGACCGUGAACUUUCACACUCUUUCUCUCACCUGAAUAAAUAAGGCAAUGCUGUUUAAGGCAAUCUUUCUGCUUUCCCGACUUGCCAGACCAGAGGAACACUCAGAAGCCACCCGUCCUCGAUGCAGGGGUAGGGGAGGAGGGAGAGCCACGUGUCCACCUUCACUUUA